ACGGGGGGAGCAAGCGUUGUUCGGAUUUACUGGGCGUAAAGGGCGCGUAGGCGGCGUGACUAGUCACUUGUGAAAUCUCCGGGCUUAACUCGGAACGGUCAAGUGAUACUGUCGUGCUAGAGUACAGAAGGGGCAACUGGAAUUCUCGGUGUAGCGGUGAAAUGCGUAGAUAUCAAGAGGAACACCUGAGGUGAAGACGGGUUGCUGGGCUGACACUGACGCUGAUGCGCGAAAGCGUGGGGAGCAAACAGGA
rnacentral:rRNA from 1 species